rnacentral:lncRNA from 1 species
AUUGUUCGUAUAUUUUUCGAUGAAUGUUAAUCGGAUAAUCGGAACUUUUCUGAGUGUUUGAGGCUCCAAUUAUGUAUCAAUAGAUGUUUUGGGUGUUGUUCCGACAUCUCUGGUCUUAUUCCGACGAGUUCUUCAAACUCUAGGGUUUUUCGACUUUCGGACCUGGGGUUUUGAUGCUAUCCGAUGACUUUGCCUUCGGUCGAUAGGCGUUUUGGGUAAGCUUCCGACGUCUGUAACCUUAUUUUGGUGAGUUUCCGUUUGUUUUGAUGCUAUCCGAUGACUUUGCUUUCGGUAGAUAGGCGUUUUGGGUAAGCUUCCGACAUCUGUGACCUUAUUUUGGUGAGUUUCCGUUUAACUGCAAUCUCCAGUGACCGGACUUAGUCUUAUCUGGUGGUUGAAGGCCGUUCUUCUCUGGUCGCGAAGAAGGAGGGUAACACUUUCUCUGUUCUACGUGUUGUAUAUGUUGCAUGUCAGUUCUGGUUAGAUUGUGGUCUGUUCAUUGAGACUAUUCCUGUGUUGUUAAAUCUGUUCAUUGUUCAUGGUUGUUAAUAUGAAUACUAAUACCUCCCCCGCAGACUCUACUAGUCCCCUCCUAAUUUACUCCUCCGACGUUCCUGGUAUGUCUCUGGUGUCCACUCCCUUUUCAGGCAGUGGUUAUGGAGGUUGGAGGAGGAAGAUGAUUGUUGCCUUAUCUGCUAAAAACAAAAUCGGAUUUGUUGAUGGCUCAUGUCCUCGACCAACCACUAAUGUGGCUGAACAGAGGUUGUGGGAUAGAUGUAAUAACAUGGUCAUUUCCUGGUUGACUGCUUCCCCAUCUCCUCAGAUUGUUAAUAGUGUGCAGUAUUCCGAUAUUGCACAGAGUAUAUGGUCCCAAAUUGAGAAAAGAUACGGUACUCCUAACAAGACCAAAAUUUUUGAAUUAAAAAGGGAACUUUCUCACACAUCUCAAGGC